UACGGAGGAUGCGAGCGUUAUCCGGAUUUAUUGGGUUUAAAGGGUGCGCAGGCGGUCUGUUAAGUCAGCGGUCAAAGCCCGGGGCUCAACCCCGGCCCGCCGUUGAAACUGGCAGUCUCGAGUUGGAGAGAAGUAUGCGGAAUGCGCGGUGUAGCGGUGAAAUGCAUAGAUAUCACGCAGAACUCCGAUUGCGAAGGCAGCUUACUAAGCCAUAACUGACACUGAAGCACGAAAGCGUGGGGAUCAAACAGG
rnacentral:rRNA from 1 species